rnacentral:lncRNA from 1 species
CUGGUUUUGCAUGGAGAAGCAGAACAUGAUGAAGCAUUUUUCUCCCCCAUUUAAAGAUCCAGUCAUGUUCCAGUUUGCAGGGGCAGAAGGGCUGGUUUGCAGUUGGUGCUGGGAGGAUAGAGUUUCUUCCACAGAAUUAUCUCACUAAAUAACUCUCGCUAAAGCCUAACAAGACUUGUCAUCAAGCCCAUUUUCCGGAGGGAGAAACCGAGACUCCAAGAACUACAGAACCUAUUUCUGUGUCUCAAUACGUAGGCCGGCUCUCCGACUUGACGGAAUCGCUCUGGCAACAGCGCCCUCUAAAGGCGGAGGCGAGUAUGCCUGCGUAACAGUCGUGCCCCGUCCUUUGGCGCUGGAAAUGGCGGAGGGCUCCCUCUGGCUUCUGAGGAUUGUCCAGCGCCCCUCCGAGGUCCUGGAGAAGCCAGGAGCGCUGCCUACAACUCGGCCUUGACUUCCCCGCAGCCUUGGUCGCCGCAGCAUUGGGUCAGAGGCAUCCCUGGAGAUUGCAGAAAGUUAGCGGCGGCCCCUGUUGACGCAGCGAGUGACGGCCCGACAUACCCUGAUAGGCCACGGGGAGGGCCAGACGCAGAGCCUUGAAAGAAGGAGCUUGCGCUCUGGAAGGGGCGUGGCCAGCGCUCUUCCUCGAGGGCGGGGCUCUAGGGGAAGGGGCUCUUCUCUGGGAUAUUGUGCCACAAGCGAGGACACCCGUGCACCUAGCCCAGGGCCUGUGUCCUGGCGUCAGCGCAUCUGUGGGCAGCAACUUUACCCUCCCCAGACCUCAGUUUCUGCACCUGUAAGACGGAGGCUCUUCCACAACUGCAAAAAUCGGAGUUUCAUCCAGCAUUCUCAGAAUUCCUGUCUCCAGGCAGGCACUGAGGAAUCAGAGCUGCGUUCCUGUGGAGGCUCAGAGCUCUGAGAUCUCCUUCACUUGCUGCAUCAGUACUCCUGACACUGGAGAGUUCUGGAGGUUGGAGACCAGCCCCUUCCUGGUGGAACAGGCACCCUGUAGCCUGGGAUGUGACAGUCAUAUGACAGGGCCUGUAACAAGUAACAGUGGUAGCCCAAAUAUGUCGAGCACUUACUAUAUGCCUGGCUUUUCAUGAAGUCUGUCGCAUACGUUAUUUACACCCCCACCCGCACAGCCGUGUCUGGUGGUCCUGUUCUUGACAUCCUGUUUACUGAUGAGCCCAGAGUCACACAAUAGUAGCCAGUCCAAGGUCACCCAGCUAAUAAAUGGCUGAAGCAGUAGUCCACAGUCUCAUCCACUGUUCCGUACCAAAAAAAAAAAUGUUUAACCUGGAAGGGAGAUGGCAGAGGGGGAAAAUUACAAGAUCCUACCAGUGUUAAUCUAUACCACGAGUUGAGCCCUUAGUAUGUGUUGGAAGCUGGCCUACAGAUCAGCACCAUUUAUACUCCUGACAGUGACCUUAUACUAUAGGGUUGUUAUUUCCACUUCUGAGAGGUCAUCUCAUAUGUCUCUGGUCACACUGCUAGUACAAAACUGGAACUUUGAGUUUAAUGGAUGGUACACUCAGCCUGCCUGUAUAUCACUCUUAGGAAGACCCCACUCUUCUCUGAGCCUGUUUCCCGUUCUGCACAAUGAGAGGUUUGGACCAGAAGGCUCUGGACAUUGUUUCCUGAGCUCACAUUCUUUGAUUUUAGGAGCAUUGACAUGAUGUCCAGAGUCCUGGGUUUGUUCCUAAUUAUCUAUGACUUGGGAACGCCUCGGCCUAAUCCCUUGCAUCUCUGGGCCUCAGUUUCCCCCUUUGUAAAAUGUGGAGAUGAGAAAGUCUCAAUCACCAAGGGACCUUCUGGCUUUAAUAUUUUAUGACUGCAAAUGAAGAGACAAGCUGAGGUUCAGCAAAUUGUGCAUCCUCUGAGAAAUUCUAAUGAAUGUGAUUCUGCCACCUUGCUCAAAACAUUCCUGGUGCAAGGCUUCCAAGGACAGAUGCCCAUGUAGGUCAAGGGGAACAGCCACCUCCAGAUAAUCAGCAUUAACUGCUGGAGGAGGCUCACUCUCCUGAUGGUCCAAAAUCCACCCCUGUGGUCAGACCAGCUUAAGACUGAAUGCCAGCACUUCCCCCUGGGCACCUCAGAGAAGUGACCCUUUCUGUGCCUUAGUUUCUACAUCUGUAAAAUAGGGUGCUAACAGGACCAGCUUCAUUUGAGAUUUGAUGGAAAAACAUGUGCAAAAAGCCUAACAUGGACAUUCCCUGGUGGCUCAGUGGGUUAAGGACCUGGCAUUGUCACUGUCGUGGCACAGGUUUGAUUCCUGGCCCAGGAACUUCCUCAUGCCAAGGGUACAACCCCCAAAAAAAGCCUAACAUGCUACUUCUGGCUUAGGAAAACCCCCAAUAAAUACAACUGUUACC